rnacentral:rRNA from 1 species
GUUAGGAAUCUUGGGCAAUGGGCGCAAGCCUGACCCAGCCAUGCCGCGUGUGUGAAGAAGGCCUUCGGGUUGUAAAGCACUUUCAGCGGUGAAGAAAAGCUCAGGGACAAUACCCCUCGAGUCUUGACGUUAGCCACAGAAGAAGCACCGGCUAACUCCGUGCCAGCAGCCGCGGUAAUACGGAGGGUGCGAACGUUAAUCGGAAUCACUGGGCGUAAAGCGCGCGUAGGCGGUUUGUUAAGUGGGAUGUGAAAUCCCCGGGCUUAACCUGGGAAUUGCAUUUCAAACUGGCCGACUAGAGUACGGUAGAGGGAGGUAGAAUUUCCUGUGUAGCGGUGAAAUGCGUAGAUAUAGGAAGGAAUACCAGUGGCGAAGGCGGCCUCCUGGAUCGAUACUGACGCUGAGGCGCGAAAGCGUGGGGAGCAAACAGGAUUAGAAACCCGGGUAGUCC